CCCCUACCCGAGGCGGCAGGAGCCAGGAAGCCGGUGCGAGUCCGGCGCGGUCCCGCCACUGUGACCAAGCGAAUCCGCUUGGCAGCCAGGAACUGACCUGCCGCCCUUCUUCCAC
rnacentral:ncRNA from 2 species